CCAAAUCAUUGAUAAAGUGAGAUGAGAAAAAGUGAAAAAUUGUUUUUCCUUUACUAUGAUCAUCCAAUUGAAUCAAAAUAAAUACAAAAGGAAAGCUUAAAUUGUACAUCAAACGGCAGGUAACCUUUUCACAGAAAUGGCAAAAAAGAGACAAACUUGGUAACCUUUUCUGGAUGUCAAAAUUUUCCAAAACAGAAUUGAUUGUUGUAAAAAAAGAUGACGAAUAUAGUCAGGCAAUUGCCAUUUUCCUUCAUUAAAUUAAAAUGUUCACUUUUCUUUGA